UUUCUCCUUUAUUUCGUCAGGUUCAGGAAUGAGAGUAUAAUAGUAUAAAAAUUUGUGUCCUAACCGUUAUUAAUAUUAACAAAUGAAAUGCCACGUAUGUACGAACGAACGAACGAUACGAACGAACGAACGAACAGGGAAGAUGAGGGAAGGGUGGUUACUGUGUGUGUGUGUGUGUGUGUGUGUGUGUGUGUACCUAAUUGUAGUUCUCUAUUUCGCGUCUAAGUCCAUAUUUAUCAAACGUUUUCCUUUAUUAAACUCGUAACUCCUUUUCUUUAUAAUUAAACUACCUCAUUAGACCAUUUCAUAAGUUAAUAAUCCUGAAUAAGCUGAAUUUCUUUACCUUUUUCGCAUCUAAAUCCAUAAUUGUCAAACUUUUCCUUAUAUUAUUUUGCCUCUAAGUCCAUAUUUAACGAUCUUUUUCUUUAUUAAACUCGUAAUUGCUCUUUUCUUUAAUUAAACUACCUAAUUAGACCAUUCAGUUAGUCAGUAAUUAUCAAUGAACUCAAUUUCUUUAUUUUUUUCAGAUAAUUUAUUUUUCUAACUUCAAACUCAUGUAAUUGUUUUGCCUCUUAAGUCCAUCUGUAACAAUCCUUUUCUUAAUUAAACUCGUAACUGCUCUUCUCUUUAAUUAAACUACCUAAUUAGGCCUUUCAGUUACUUAGCAAUUAUCAAUAAACUCAAUUUCUUUACAUAUUUUCGCAUAUAAUCUUUUUAAACUUCAAAUUAAUGUCAUCUUUCUGUGUGUGUGUGUGUGUGUGUGUGUGUGUGUGUGUGUAACAGGGUCAGUAGUAGUAGUAUUGAGUUAGGACGGAAAUUGUUUGACCUGAAGUGACCUAACCAGACCUAUAUAAUAUUAUAAUGACCUUUCCGUGACCUCGAUCAGGAACCAAAGUUUUGACCUGGGAGAGUGACCAACCCACAUUACUGAAGGAUGUUGGUGGAUUCUAUUAGAUGACGGGAAACUGAAGAAGAUUGUGUUGAUAAGAAAUAAAGAAGAAGAAGAAGAAGAAGAAGAAGAAGAAAAAGAAGGAGAAGAAGGAGGAGGAGGUGGAGAAGAAGAGAAAGAAGAAGAGAAAGAAAAGAUUAUAGAAAGAAAGAAAGGAAGCAAGGAAGAAGGAAAAAUGAAGAAAAGAAGAAGAACAAGAACAAGCAGAAGAAAGAAAGAAAACAAGAAAAGGAAGAAGAAAGAGAAGAAAAAAAAGAAAGGAAAAUAAAGGAAAAAAUGUAUAAAUGAUAAUGUGAGAUAAAGGAAUAAAGAGGAAACUAAAAGAAAACUUGUAUAGAUAAUAAAAAAUAAAAUAAAAGGAAGAAAAAAAGAUAUAAAUGUAAAUAUGAAGAAGAGAAAAUAAUUGAAAAGAACAGAAUCAUUUCCUCAUAUCCAAAUGCUUAACGGACUAGAACAUAAAAUAAUAAUGCUAAUAAUACGGAUAAUAAUAAUAAUAAUGAUGAUAAUUAUAAUGAUUAGCAGAAAUUUCAUAUGGUUUUUGCUUAUAAAUUCAGUGGUGCCAAUUCUGAGGCAAUCUGUACAAUAUUUACAAGGAUUGGUAGUACUGACUCUGUCCUCCUCCUCCUCCUCUUCUUCCUCCUCCUCCUCCUUUUCCUUAUAAACUGGGAUGGAAGGCCAAUUAUCAUUAUUAGUGGUCAUAUUUAAAGUUACAAUCAAAGUUCUUAAGAUGAUUAACUUGGUAGCAUUGAUGGGCCAAAUUUGUGGCUUUACCGUGUACCAGCGACGGGCCAAAUUUGUGGCUUUACCGUGUACCAGCGAUGGGACAAAUUUAUGGCUUUACCGUGUACCAGCGACGGGCCAAAUUUGUGGCUUUACCGUGUAGCAGCAAUGGGCCAAAUUUGUGGCUUUACCGUGUACCAGCGACGGGCCAAAUUUUUGCCAUGAUAUAACCCCCCCCAAACUAGAUGGUGCAUAAACUGAUCACAAAUGCAUUGAUAUGUAUUAUGAAAUGGUUUGUGAGAGAUGAUUUUUUCUCAUUUUUCUCGCUUAAGAGGGAAGGGCCUUUAAGAAACAUGAUCCCUGGAGCAGCUACCGGGUUAUAUGUAUGUGUGUUAUUUCUCUCCAUAUUUCUAACACUCAAAGCUAAAAGAGAUGAUCAAGGUUGUGUGGUUUUAAUCUCUAUGUUACUGGCAGUCUGUGAAGGGAGGGAAGGAUUAUAUAAACUCUUCAUUCUCCUAUAAUUCAAGUGUGUGGGUUAGUUUCUUCAAGUUUGUAACAAUGAUCGAAAGUUUACGAGAUGAUCAAGGUUGUGUAGUUUCAUUCUCUCUCUUAUUGGGAGUCUGUGAAGGGAUGGAAGGAUUAUAUAAACUCCUCUUCAUUCUCCUAUAAUUCAAGUGUGUGUGUUAGUUUUUUCAUGCUUGUAACAAUGAUCGGAAUGUUACGAGAUGAUCAAGGUUGUGUAGUUCUAUUCUCUAUGUUAUCGGCAGUCUGUGAAGGGAUGGAAGGAUUAUAUAAACUCCUCUUCAUUCUCCUAUAAUUCAAGUGUGUGUGUUAUUUUCUUCAAGUUUGUAACAAUGAUUGAAAGUUUACGAGAUGAUCAAGGUUGUGUAGUUUCAUUCUCUCUCUUAUUGGGAGUCUGUGAAGGGAUGGAAGGAUUAUAUAAACUCCUCUUUCUUCUCCUAUAAUUCAAGUGUGUGUGUUAGUUUUUUCAUGCUUGUAACAAUGAUCGAAAUGUUACGAGAUGAUCAAGGUUGUGUAGUUCUAUUCUCUAUGUUAUCGGCAGUCUGUGAAGGGAUGGAAGGAUUAUAUAAACUCCUCUUUCUUCUCCUAUAAUUCAAGUGUGUGGGUUAUUUUCUUCAAGUUCGUAACAAUGAUCGAAAGCUUACGAGAUGAUCAAGGUUGUGUAGUUCUAUUCUCUAUGUUAUCGGCAGUCUGUGAAGGGAUGGAAGGAUUAUAUAAACUCCUCUUUCUUCUCCUAUAAUUCAAGUGUGUGUGUUAGUUUUUUCAUGCUUGUAACAAUGAUCGAAAGCUUACGAGAUGAUCAAGGUUGUGUAGUUCUAUUCUCUAUCUUGUUGGGAGUCUGUGAAGGGAUGGAAGGAUUAUAUAAACUCCUCUUUCUUCUCCUAUAUUGUGUUUGUUUCUUCAUGCUUGUAACAAUGAUCAAAAGCUUACGAGAUA